GACAGAGGGUGCAAACGUUGUUCGGAAUUACUGGGCGUAAAGAGCGCGCAGGCGGUCGUGCAAGUCGCGUGUGAAAGCCCCCGGCUCAACUGGGGAGGGUCACGCGAUACUGUUCGACUCGAAGGCAGGAGAGGGAAGUGGAAUUCCCGGUGUAGUGGUGAAAUGCGUAGAUAUCGGGAGGAACACCAGUGGCGAAGGCGACUUCCUGGCCUGUUCUUGACGCUGAGGCGCGAAAGCUAGGGUAGCAAACGGG
rnacentral:rRNA from 1 species